GACGGGGGGGGCAAGUGUUCUUCGGAAUUACUGGGCGUAAAGGGCUCGUAGGCGGCCAACUAAGUCAUACGUGAAAUCCCCCGGCUUAACCGGGGAACUGCGUCUGAUACUGGAUGGCUUGAGUUCGGGAGAGGGAUGCGGAAUUCCAGGUGUAGCGGUGAAAUGCGUAGAUAUCUGGAGGAACACCGGUGGCGAAGGCGGCAUCCUGGACCGAUACUGACGCUGAGGAGCGAAAGCCAGGGGAGCAAACGGGG
rnacentral:rRNA from 1 species